UGCACUCACUACUGUAAGUCGCUCUGGAUAAGAGUGUCUACUAAAUAACUAAAA
rfam:Salmo salar isolate Sally breed double haploid chromosome ssa24, whole genome shotgun sequence.